rnacentral:ncRNA from 1 species
CCGGGGAGCUUGUGCGACAGGCUGAGAGGAAGGUCAUACCUUCGACCCGCUGACCUGAUUUGGAUAAUGCCAACGUAGGUAGCCUGUGAU